GCAAUUACCCAAUCCUGACACAGGGAGGUAGUGACAAGAAAUAACAAUACAGGGCGAAUGUCUUGUAAUUGGAAUGAUGGUGACCCAAACCCUCACCAGAGUAGCAAUUGGAGGGCAAGUCUGGUGCCAGCAGCCGCGGUAAUUCCAGCUCCAAUAGCGUAUAUUAAACUUGUUGCAGUUAAAAAGCUCGUAGUUGUAUUUUUGCGUUGACGGUUUGACCAUUUGGUUGGUUAUUUCGUUUUCGCUUUUGGGAAUUUCCCUUUUUACUUUGAGAAAAUUAGAGUGUUUCAAGCAGACUUUUGUCUUGAAUACUUCAGCAUGGAAUAAUAGAGUAGGACUUUGGUUCUAUUUUGUUGGUUAUUGAACCUUAGUAAUGGUUAAUAGGAACGGUUGGGGGCAUUUUCCGUAUUU
rnacentral:rRNA from 1 species